CGAAAAUAUUCAGAAGGAACACGAGCAUAAGACAAAAGAGGGUACAUUUUGCAUUGCCUUUGGCGAGAGCUGCAGUUUGUGUGAAUAGUGAUGCAAAAUUGGAUAACUUUCUACUUGACAAUUAUGGAAAGGGCCCAUCAACUUUUACCCCAUUUGAAACUAAAGUCUGUGUUCAUUGUUCCAGCAUCAACAGUUGGAAGUUACACUGUUUCAAACAGCCUCAUACCUCACUGCAAAGCUUGUCUGCAACUAGAUAGACUCCAUUUGUGGUAACAAAGAGAGCCUCCUGAUAUCCCUGUUCGAGGGCCACUGCAAUGCUUGCCUCUUCAAACUCCCGGUGCCACUCCCAGCCUGACUGAUGCCUCCCCUGAAUACAAGAUGAACAGCCCCAGCAUCUGUAACCUCCUCUGUCACAGGGAUCAUCAAGAUACACGUCUGAAGGCACGUGUGAUGAAUACGACCAGCCAGUUCCUCUGUAUGACCACAAGACAGGGUCUUUAGAGUAGAGAGACUUGUUUACACCCCACACAAUCGACGGCCAUAUAAAAUAGAGCUAACGGACUACUGACUCCUGUUGUCAUCUAUUCAAGAUGACGGUACAGCUAACAACGCUUCUCCUCCGGGGUUUUCAGACACCAUGAAGGUGUUAUUUACUGAGCACCAAAGUUAUUACAAUUCCCAGUACUGGAGAGUAAAAUGUUGGUUGUCAUCGUCCGACUUCAAACCCGUUACACUGCAUUACAAGAAUGUUUUAAUGGCAAAUUGGAUAAAUGCAAGUAAUGCUUCAAGAGUUUCAAGUGUUUUGUGUGAUUGGUUGCUGUGACGCAGAUUUCCUUACACUGCUUACUUCCUGAUCAGAUGGUGGAAGCUCUAGUUCACAUAUGGUCACAUUCUGGUUACACAUUUUGUAAGGCUGUUGUUGAUCUGGCAGGACUCCGUCCACAGCCUGACUCUGAUGUAAUAAAGUUG
ensembl:lncRNA